ACCCGGCCCAGCCCGCUCACCGUGAGGGUGUCGUCUAUGUAGAGGGGAAUCUGCCUCCUCUCGAAGGGGAACUCCUCCUCCCCGUCCCUGCACACUGCCACCAGUCGCGCCAUCGUCCCCGACGCUGCCGUUGCCACCGUCACCACCUCCUCCCAGCUGCCGCUGCUGCCGCCGCCGCCGCUGCUCCUGCCGCUGCUGCCUCCUCCCAGCUCCUGCCUGCAACAGCCAAACCCCGCGAGCGUUUGACACAUGCGGACUUCCACCACUGGAAGAAAGACUGGAGGAAAGGGAUCUGCUACCCUGAUUGACCCAGAACCAGCCGCCUCAUGGGGACUGUGUCAAGAUCUCUCGACAGGAUGGAAAAUACGUGUAGAAUCUGUUGUUACAAUAGACAGAAAAUGGAACAGUAGUCCUAUGUGUAGGAUCUGACCAAAGGAACUUCUUGAGUUAAUAUUAACUUAAGAGGCUCCCUUGGACAAAGUACUGAUGGUGGCCAAAGGCUCUUCGGUCUGACCAUCUUCCGAGAACCAGAGCUGCUGUAAAGAGAGUUCCUCUACACCCUGACCACUGCCACAUUCUCAAGUCCUAGUCUAAGGAGGUCCAUUGUAAAGCCAAAAGGAUGGGAAAUGUUUCGUCUUUGUGGUUUUAAUGAUAAAUCCACUCGAUGCUUGUACAAAUGCCCGAUCUUAAGGACAGAUCGAAUAUUUUCUGGUAAAAUAGACUAAAGUUGUUGUUACUGACAUUUAAAAGUAUUUUGAUCACAUGAAGUCUUUCAAAUCACAACCAAAAAAAAAAAAAAAAUCCACACUGCAUCCUUAGCCAUGCUGACUUAUGACAUUGUGUGGUCAUUGUUAGAGUAGGUGACAUAAUAAACUGGAAGAACCAUUGUGUGUUCCCAAAGGUGUGAUUAUCCAGUAAAUAUGUCUUUGGGCCAUACUAAAAGCAGAACAGUGUGAUCCUUAAUUUAAAUCCAGUUUUUCAUGCACGUUCUGAAAGGUUAGAAUACAGACAUUUUUAGAAAAUCUUGUGUUUUAUGUCUAUGACUACUACAAUCCAUGUACCUACUUUGAUUUUUGAAUUUUAGAUUAUGUUUGGUAACAAAUAUUGAGCCAAUACGUAUAUAGCUACUAACUUUAAUUUUCACUAUUAAAUACACACCAGAUACUAGCAAAGAAUCAAGCUAUGAAGAAAAGGGCAGUUGAAAAGCUAGAAUACCUUCUGUUUUCACUACAAUGGCUGUAUUUGAUAUGGUAGUAAAAUCAAUGUUACUUAAAUUAGUACAUCUGCAAAUCUUAAGUUGGAUUUUCCUUUGUGUGAUCUGACAGUAUGAAAUUCUAUUUUAUCAAUUACAAAUAGAAACACAAGACCAGUAUGGUAGCACAUACCUGCAAUCCCAGCACUUAGAGGAGGCUAAGGCAGGGGAGUUUACCAUAAAUUGAAGACCAGAUUAGAUUGCACAGACCUUUUUUCAAAAUAGGAAUUAAGUAGACAUAUUAGGCAUUCCUUUUAAUAGGCAUAAAUUAAAAUGUAAGCUCCUUAAAGGUAGGGUUUUGUCUCAUCUGUUUGUAUUCCUGGCACCUAUACCCGACACAAUAGAGCUCAGUAAAUCAAUUGUGAUCUUUCCCUUCUGAAAAACAAAUCAGAGGGAGUUUUGCCUACUAA